rnacentral:lncRNA from 1 species
AAUCUGCCUAUUAGCAAGUCACAAAGAAUAGUUAUGCACUCCUCCAGACUUUGCUGCUUAAGAGAACACAGGGAGAUUGCACUCGAGUGUUUUCAGCUGACACCCACACUACUCCCACCUACAAAAAAGGUCCCCUAUGAACAAUACAGUCUAAACACCAGUAGGAUUAUGGAAAGGCAAACAUGCCUACUAAGAGAACUUUCUUGGGUUUAAAAAAAGAAGAUCGAAUUGCUUGUACCUGCUACUACUAAAGCCAAGAAGGAACUUUCUUGCCAAAGGCAAUGUUUAUGUCUACAAGCAAAGUACAUUACAAAGUUGACAAGGGCAGAAACAAAAAUCUGAGGUUUCUACUGAAGUGUGACUCAAAAUUCACCACAAACUCUCCAAACCAAGCCUCACCAAAUAUGUAGGGGAGUCUUGCCUUCCCUGCAGUCAAGAGGUAAAAUAAAACUGUUCCAGAACUCUGGUCUGCGGGCUGUUACCGGCUUACGAAAAAUCAAUUCAACAUAUCAGUUGUUCUUCAGAAUGGUGUCUAGACUGCUGCAGAGAGCCUGGAAGUCUAACAGGGACAAGAAUAAGAAACUGAAUCUCUAUCAAUAUACAAGGAUGAGCACAAACCACCACAGAUGGCAAUGGCACCAUUGGGCCUGGACCUUGCUGACAGCCACCAUCAGGCAAAACAUGCUCAGAGAAGCAAGAAAUAAAGGAAGCCCAGAUGGUUUGCCAACAUGUCCCAGCAGGCAGGGAAGCCAAGUAACAGUGAGGCAUAUGCAAAGGAGAAAGAUCGUGAGUGAACUUGAGAAGCAUGUGCAGGGGAACACCAUGUGAUGGUGAUAACGUAGCUGAGGAGUAUGGGAAAAAAAUAGGAGAAAGAGGGGAAAAAAAAAAGUAAUCAAACGCAAGGGCAAGCAGUAAUUUUUAACUAGUGCACAUACUACAUUUAGGACAGCUAAAUAUAUUACUCUAUCCACAUAAGCAAUUGUUAUAGCUGCAGCAUACUACUGUAUGUACUUCGUACAUAAGGUACGAAAUUUUAACUCUACUUAGUAGAAGUGCUCUUCUACUAAGAUGCUCAAGCCCUAAAAACAGAUUUCUGCAUCUUAAAUAACAAAAAAUACCUUAAGAGAAUUACUCCGCAGCAAAUUCUGCUAUAUAGGUGAGUUAUACAAAAGAAUCAGAUUCUCAGAAUAAGGAGGUUCCAAGUUUGAACUCUACCAAAGUCAUGUCAAGCAACAUGCCCCAAGACCACAUUUCCCUGACUUCUGUGGAAGUCACUGGUUUCCACUGCAGUUUUACCAGUAGCACUUUUCAAGUGUUUUCAGUAAGUUUUUUUCCUACAGUAUAUCACAGCACGUUCAAUAACUGUCACUUGCCUUAUGAAAAUAGCUAAUCAAAGAGAUCAAAUACAGGGGUCAGACAGAGACAACUGAGUGAUUAGCCACACUUUUGUUCUCAGCUAUUCACUCUACUUCUCUAGCAGAUGCUGAUACCUAACAAUGCAAGGAUCCACUCAUGAAGCAGAUGCCAAGAGCCAACAAUUCAGGCUGCACAAAGAUGCUCAGCUCUGCAGCAUUCAGCAACUGCUUCACAAGUGGAUCAUUCCUGCCUUGGGCACCAGGCCAGAAGGCAAUUUAGACAACUGGUAUUGAUAGAAGCUUCUGCGAUCCAAUUCAGAUCUGUCGUUACAUGACUGCCAGAGCCUUGAGUAAUAGCUAAGUUACUACAGAAAACCUAGCUGAACAACUUCAACUAUGUACCCAUUGCUUCCUCUGCACUUGCUUUUCAAAUAAUCAUUUAAGUUAGAGCAGUAACUCAUCUUCCAACUUAAAAGACACUCGAAGAGCAUUUUCGAAGAUCCAUAAGAAAGAUGCAGUAGACGGCAUCCGACCAGACCUGCAGUAGAGACAACAUGGUGGAGAUGUAAGUCUUCCUGAACAAAAACUUAUCUUAAAAAAAUUCUUUCACAAAAGUAAUGAUGAUUUGAAUUAUUUAAACCCCAGAGUGCCCAGUAUUUUUCAGUAUAUAUUUGGAACAAAUGCGUGACUACUGGAGGAAUUGCCUCCUACACAUCUACUCACUCACAUCUUGCUUUCAUGCAGAGACUUAACAAUGAGGGGAAAAAAAGACUUUGUUUUUUCUUAUUAUCAGAUUUUGCUUUGUAUUUUGGAGCUGAAGUACUUUAUUUAGUCUUUUGCAAGUAAACCAGGAGAUAAAUCGUGCUCUGUGGUAACAUCUAUUCUCAGCUCUGAAAUGGUCUUAUAUAAGAUUGUAUCUAUAUACACACAUGUAUAUAUACAUCUAUAUAUC